CCCAACGUCCUGCAGUGUCAGCCUGAUCACCUGACACGAGGGAUAGAUUGGUAACAGAAAUUUGGCACAGUUUGGUGGGCAAUUGAGAAGGGGGGAGCCCUGCAGAAUUUGCACCAUCUAUUUGUUUUACCCUUGUUGUUUUAUGUUUGCUUUGCUUGGUACUGUUGCUGUUAUAUGUUGAGGACUGCAUGAUUAAAGGAGUGCCCACUCUCAGCCGCAGUAAGUCUGAGAACUGGAGAGAGGCUUACCAUUCCUCUGUUCACCCUGGUUGACCGGGAAGGGUGGAAGGUGGAUCUACCCCCAGUCGUAGUAGGACUGGGCAAUAGAGAAGAUGGAGAAAAGGGAAGAGAUGUGUACUUGAGCAAUUAAGAGCAUAGAUCAUGAACCAGGCAGCAAUUCAAACCUACGCCCAGGGCAAGUUGCAGGCCUUGAAACAGGACUUCCAAGCAGAAAAGGAAGCACUGGCUAAGCAAGUAUUGGUCCUUCAGGGACUUAUCAAAAUGUAACCAUUUGUGCUCAGUAUACACCAUAGCAGCAGUGUGUUUGCCACAAGAGGAAAUUGGAUAGUUAAACUCCAACGGGCCAUGUGUUUUUGCCCAGGUGGCAAGCCUGACGAGGGAGGACUCGGGUAGUCUUGUGAGUAAGAAUGUUUAAGGGAAGAGACCAGGAAGGGUGGGGGCUAGUUGAGAAGCCCACUCUCCUAGCUAAACUGGUAGUGGAACAAAGCUGGUGCCCAUGGAAGGGGCAGUUCAGCGAGAAAAGCAGGAUCGGGCCCAGGCGGGCAGGCAACAGAUACAGCGAUUGGAAACCAGGUUGGAAAAUUUUGAGGGCGUAGUGGAAGGAAGGAAUAAGUAAGUAUAAGCAUGGGGAUUUCAAAUACCCAGGACAAUACUUGAAAUGGUGCUUUGAGUUGAUAAAAAGCCUGGUCUACACUAUGCGUUUAUACUGAAUUUAGCAGUGUUAAACCGAAUUAACCCUGCAUCUGUCCACACAACGAAGCCCUUUAUAUCAAUAUAAAGGGCUCUUAAUAUCGAUAUCUGUAUUCCUCCCCGACGAGGGGAGUAGCCUCAAAUCGGUAUUGCCAUUUCAGAAUAAGGUUAGUGUGGCUGCAAUUUGAUGGUAUUGGCCUCCGGGAGCUAUCCCACAGUGCACCAUUGUGACCUCUCUGGACAGCAAUCUGGAGUUGGAUACACUGGCCAGGUAGACAGGAAAAGCACCGCAAACUUUUGAAUUUCAUUUCCUGUUUGCCCAGUGUGGAGCUCUGAUCAGCACAGGUAACAAUGCAGUCUCCUGAGAAUCGAAAAAGCUCCAGCAUGGACCGCACGGGAGGUACUGGAUCUGAUCGCUAUAUGGGGAGAGGAUUCCGUGCUAACAGAACUCCGUUCCAAAAGACAAAAUGAAAAAACAUUUGAAAAAAUUUCCAGGGCCGUGAUGCAGAGAGGCCACAGCAGGGACUCAGUGCAGUGCAGAGUGGAAGUUAAGGAGCUCAGACCAGCCUACCAGAAAACCAAAGAAGCAAACGGAAGGUCCGGGGCAGGGCCAAAAACAUGCUGCUUGUACGCUGAGCUGCAUGCAAUUCUCGGGGGGUCCACCACCACUACCCCACCCCUGUCCAUGGAUUCCGAGGUGGGGGUGGUAACCUCAGCCAUGCCUGAGGAUUCUGUGGACGGGGAAGAUGAAGAGGAGGACGAGCUUGCAGAGAGCACACAGCACUCUGUUCUCCCCAACAGCCAGGAGCUUUUUCUCACCCAGACGGAAUUACCCUCUCAGGCCACUAGCCCAGACAAUGAAGCCAUGGAAGCCACCUCUGCUGCAAAUUUUUCAAGUCUCUCUCCUCCAUCCCGAAGGCUACUCAGAUAAGGCGGAGGAAAAAGAAGACGCGAGAUGAAAUGUUCUCAGAAAUCAUGGCAGUGACCCGCAAUGAAAGAGCUCAUCUGAAUGAGUGGAAGGACAUGGCAUCAAAGUACAGGAAAGAUGCCAAUAAACGUGAGGACAGGAGGGACCAACGUGAGGAGAGACACUCUAGAUGAGAGGUGGCGGCAGGAAGAUCAGCGGUGGCAGGAUGCAACUCUGGGGCUGCUGCAUGAUCAAACAGACAUGCUCCGGCGUCUGAUGGAGCUUCAGGAACGGCAGCAGGAUCAUAGAGUGCCGCUGCAGCCCCUGUAUAACCACCCUCCCCCCUCACCAUGUUCCUUAGCCUUCUCACCCACCAGACAACUAAGAACGCGUGGGGGGAGGCUCCGUGCACCCGCCCAUUCCACCCCAGUGGACAGCCCAAUCAAAAGGCUGUCAUUAUUUUGAAAUUUUUUUAGUGGCCUUCUCCUUCUCUUCUAUCCUCCUCCCAAACCACACCCGGGGUACCUUGUCAUUUCUCUCCCUCUUUUUAUAAUUAAUUAAGAAUACAUGAUUUUUAAA